AAGGUAUGAUCCAUGGAUCAGGAAACCAGCCUUCCCUAGACAUGGAAUCUGCUGGCACCUUGAUUUUGAACUUCCCAGACUCCAGAACUACUCCUGCCCCUGCCACGAGAACACACCCUUUCCAGUUUGCUGGAGAAAUAUAAGAGAAGUCCAGUGAAAGAGAGCUGAGUUUCCCCAAUGAUGCCAUCAAGAUGAACUAACUACAGUUAACCAGCCAGCUGAUAGCAGAUGCAUGAGUGAGCCCAGCUGAGAGCAGGUUGUGCAAGCAUGGCACGUGCAUCUGUUUGGCUUGUGGUGAGGCCUCAGGAAGCUUACAGUCAUGGUGGAAGGCAAAGAGGGAGCCAGUACAUCACGUGAACUCGUAGAGUGAGAACUCAUUCACUACCAUGAAGACAACACCAAGCCAUUCCUGAGGUAUCAGCUCCCAUGACCUGAACAUCUCCCACUAGGCCCACCUCCAACACUGGGGGUCAAACUUCAACAUGAAAUUUGGAGGGGACAAACAUCCACGUCAUAUCAGAUAUCAUUAUUUAACCUACCAUAUCCUUGGAAUUAGGGGUUGAUGUGUUACUGCAGCAUAGUUUAAUGUAUGCUGAGGAAUAUGGAAGCCAUAGUAAGUUAAUACUAAAAUCUCACUGGACAUUAACUAUAGAAGUAUGCCCAAGGUAACUAUUUAGUAGACAUAAUCAGCCUCAACUUUUUGUUGUCUUCAUGAGG
rnacentral:lncRNA from 10 species